GCGAGUUCGCGGGAGAGUAGGUUAUUGCCAGGGUUUUUAUUUUAUACUUUAAACUUUGAUUUUAUUUUUAUGUUUUUUAAAUAUUGGUGUUUUUGAAUGUGUUGUUUAAAUAACAUAAAAAAUAAAAUAUAUAUUGACAUGUAUUAAACAAAGAUAUAUAUUAUUUUAUGUUGUAUAAAUAAAUUGGCAAAAUAGAGAUGGAAGAUAAAAAUAUGGUCAAAGUAAUAAGAGUCUAUGGUGAAUGCCUAGG
rnacentral:misc_RNA from 1 species